rnacentral:rRNA from 1 species
UACAGAGGGUGCAAGCGUUAAUCGGAAUUACUGGGCGUAAAGGGCGCGUAGGUGGCUAUUUAAGUUUGAUGUGAAAUCCCUGGGCUUAACCUAGGAACUGCAUUGGAAACUGGAUAGCUGGAGUACUGUAGAGGGUAGUGGAAUUUCCGGUGUAGCGGUGAAAUGCGUAGAGAUCGGAAGGAACACCAGUGGCGAAGGCGGCUACCUGGACAGAUACUGACACUGAGGCGCGAGAGCGUGGGGAGCAACAG